CUCAGACCCAUCGAGCUUCCUGGGGAAGAAGCGAGGAGACAGGAAGAAGGAGGGGGAGAAGGGGAUUCAGGCCAGACGGCCCCACAGCGAAGAAAGGGGACAGUUGGCUGGAGGAUUGUGCCCCCACGGUAAACCCCUCCCAACACCUCAGUCCACCUCGGCUAUUUCCAAGGCCCUGAACCUUUUGUGGCCAGCGUUUCCAGAGAGUAGAGAACACACGAAGGUCUUUCCCCUCCAAAGUGGGGGAAGAGGACAGGACAGAACCGCAAGUUCCCCUUAAAGGCAGCUGAGCCCAGGGCAUUAGACCUCAAGCCCACCAAGAAGUAUGGCUCCAUUUCAAAAGGGCAGAAUAAAGCCAGGAGGCAGGGGGAUGAACCCAA